AUUGAACGCUGGCGGAAUGCUUUACACAUGCAAGUCGAACGGUAGAGGGGGCAACCCCUCGAGAGUGGCGAACGGGUGAGUAAUAUAUCGGAACGUGCCCAGUCGUGGGGGAUAACGUAGCGAAAGUUACGCUAAUACCGCAUACGAUCUAAGGAUGAAAGCGGGGGAUCGCAAGACCUCGCGCGAUUGGAGCGGCCGAUAUCAGAUUAGGUAGUUGGUGGGGUAAAGGCUCACCAGGCCAACGAUCUGUAGCUGGUCUGAGAGGACGACCAGACACACUGGAACUGAGACACGGUCCAGACUCCUACGGGAGGCAGCAGUGGGGAAUUUUGGAAAAUGGACGCAAGUCUGAUCCAGCCAUUCCGCGUGCAGGAUGAAGGCCCUCGGGUUGUAAACUGCUUUUGUACGGAACGAAAAGGUCUCUCUUAAUACGGGGGGCUCAUGACGGUACCGUAAGAAUAAGCACCGGCUAACUACGUGCCAGCCGCCGCGGUAA
rnacentral:rRNA from 1 species